AGGGCUGCCACUGGCAUUGCGCCAGAUGGUGGUGCUAUUGCUGCUGCUGGACAGCCCGUUGCUGUGUCGCCGCCCAGUUCUCCCACGGCCGCUGAUUUGGCUGUCGCCGCCGCAACCACCUCCUUGCAUGUGGAGGCUGAGGCCCCAGACCCGGCGGCUACGGACGCCGGUGCUGGUGCAGCUGCCGUUGCCGCGGAGCCUAAGGCAGCUACCGCUGCUGCUGUGGCCUUGGAGGCUGAGCCGGAGGCCGAGGCUGCUGAGCCCGAGGCCGCUGCGGCGGCUGACGAGGAGGGCGAGGAGGAGCCGGAGGAGCAGGACGGGCCGCAGCUGUUCACACCCGACGGUGUGCCGCUGCGCCCCAUCACCUACCUCGACAAGCGGGGCCGCCCCAUCACGCCUGAACAGGCCGCGGAGGUCAACGCGGCGGCAGCUGCGGCGGCGGAGGCGGCAGCCCAGGAGGCGUUGGCUAAAGAGGCUGCCGCCGCCAAGGCUGACGAUGAGGAUGCUGAGGAGCAGGCCACGGACGCUACGGAUGCCGCAGACACCACAGAGGAGGAGGAGGAGGAGGCUGCCGAGCCCAAGCUGCGCGCCUCACAGGCCAUGGCCGCCAGCGUCAAGGCCGAGGGCCCCGCGCCCCGCGACCGCUUUGAGGGUCUGCGCAAGAUUGCUCGUGAGAAGGGCGUGAGUGCCCUGCCCUGGUGGCUGCGCAGUCACCUUGCGGACGACCCUGAGUUUGCCGCCGAGGUGGCUCGCCUAGAGGCGGCGCGUGCUGCCGAGGCCGCGUCCGGCAAGGCGGCGGCGGCAGAGGAGGAAGAGGAGGCCGAGCCAGAGUCUGAGCCGGAAUCAGCAUCUGACGCCAGCAUGGCAGACAAGAGUGCCGGCGUUAGGGCUGCCACUGGCAUUGCGCCAGAUGGUGGUGCUAUUGCUGCUGCUGGACAGCCCGUUGCUGUGUCGCCGCCCAGUUCUCCCACGGCCGCUGAUUUGGCUGUCGCCGCCGCAACCACCUCCUUGCAUGUGGAGGCUGAGGCCCCAGACCCGGCGGCUACGGACGCCGGUGCUGGUGCAGCUGCCGUUGCCGCGGAGCCUAAGGCAGCUACCGCUGCUGCUGUGGCCUUG
rnacentral:lncRNA from 1 species